GGCUGUCUAAAUAAUGCAGAAAAGAAACGGAAAAAAUGCAAAGGGAUAUGCAAAGAUUGCUAAUAUUUCUAGUUGUUGCGAUUACUGACUAUAUUUCGCAGAAAAUGGGCAUGAGCAGAUAAAGUCCCCGACAAUUGCUUUAAGUAUUAGAAACCUCGAUUACACCUCCCAUUCAGUUCAUGGAUCAUGAUGAUCCUAAGCUCACACUUUCAGAGGUCGACCUCGACCUCUCAGCUCUCUCAAUUCCAAGGUUUCGUCGAAGCACUUCUUCAAAAGGUUGACGUGAAAUAUCUUCUCUACUUUCCCGUUUCUUUUAAUGUUGACAUUCCCUUCCGACACUUUCUCAACCAACGGACCAAUCCAAAGAGCUUGCACACAGAGGUUCUCUCGACUCUGUUCUCUAACCAAUCCGAAUCGAGUGGCAAGAGCAUCAGUUCCCCUUGGAGACGACUGAAUCGUUCCCAGACGCAAAUCCAAUGUGAGGCGCGAAGCCUUGCCAUAUACACCUUCAAACGGAGAUCGGCCAAUAUAAUCAUGGCUUCGAAGGCGAUACCCCAUGACGACCCAGUCAAUAUAAUCUGACCAGUUCUUUUGCUCUUCUUCUACUUUAGUUCGUAAUAUAUUGAAUCGAUUCACUGGAUUGCUCUGAUGAUGAUAA